rnacentral:rRNA from 1 species
GACGAACGCUGGCGGCGUGCUUAACACAUGCAAGUCGAACGAAGAGCGAUGGAAGCUUGCUUCUAUCAAUCUUAGUGGCGAACGGGUGAGUAACGCGUAAUCAACCUGCCCUUCAGAGGGGGACAACAGUUGGAAACGACUGCUAAUACCGCAUACGAUCUAAUCUCGGCAUCGAGGAAAGAUGAAAGGUGGCCUCUAUUUAUAAGCUAUCACUGAAGGAGGGGAUUGCGUCUGAUUAGCUAGUUGGAGGGGUAACGGCCAACCAAGGCGAUGAUCAGUAGCCGGUCUGAGAGGAUGAACGGCCACAUUGGGACUGAGACACGGCCCAGACUCCUACGGGAGGCAGCAGUGGGGAAUCUUCCGCAAUGGACGAAAGUCUGACGGAGCAACGCCGCGUGAGUGAUGACGGCCUUCGGGUUGUAAAGCUCUGUUAAUCGGGACGAAAGGCCUUCUUGCGAACAGUUAGAAGGAUUGACGGUACCGGAAUAGAAAGCCACGGCUAACUACGUG